AUCACUUCUCAGCCUUUUGGCUAAGAUCAAGUGUAGCAUCUGUUCUUAUCAGCUUAAAAAUACAUAAUUAUAGAGGUGCCUGGUGGCACAAUUGGUUAAGCAUCUGACUCUUGAUAUCAGCUCAGGUCAUGAUCUCACAGCUCAUGAGUUCGAGCCCUGCAUAGGGUUCUGCACUG
ensembl:snRNA U2 U2 spliceosomal RNA